CGCUCCAACUGAAAGAAAAGAAGAAGAAGAAAGAAGAAGAACUGAAAGAAAACUUGCAUUUUUAUCCUUGUA
rnacentral:ribozyme from 16 species